AGAAGUACCUGGAUGGGGUCAAUGGGCUAUCAAGAUAGCCCAUGGCCUAGGCUGAUGACCUUCAUUGCACUUCUAAGGGGCGUCCACGUAAGGUAAGCCCCGUGGUUGAGCCUACGUCAUAAUUUGUGGCAGUGGGCUGGGCAUCUUGAUUCUUGUGUUUGCGCAGCCUC
rfam:Capsicum annuum cultivar Zunla-1 unplaced genomic scaffold scaffold3822, whole genome shotgun sequence